rnacentral:rRNA from 1 species
GGGUUGUGAGGUUAAGCGACUAAGCGUACACGGUGGAUGCCCUGGCAGUCAGAGGCGAUGAAGGACGUGCUAAUCUGCGAUAAGCGUCGGUAAGGUGAUAUGAACCGUUAUAACCGGCGAUUUCCGAAUGGGGAAACCCAGUGUGUUUCGACACACUAUCAUUAACUGAAUCCAUAGGUUAAUGAGGCGAACCGGGGGAACUGAAACAUCUAAGUACCCCGAGGAAAAGAAAUCAACCGAGAUUCCCCCAGUAGCGGCGAGCGAACGGGGAGGAGCCCAGAGCCUGAAUCAGUGUGUGUGUUAGUGGAAGCGUCUGGAAAGGCGCGCGAUACAGGGUGACAGCCCCGUACACAAAAAUGCACAUGCUGUGAGCUCGAUGAGUAGGGCGGGACACGUGGUAUCCUGUCUGAAUAUGGGGGGACCAUCCUCCAAGGCUAAAUACUCCUGACUGACCGAUAGUGAACCAGUACCGUGAGGGAAAGGCGAAAAGAACCCCGGCGAGGGGAGUGAAAAAGAACCUGAAACCGUGUACGUACAAGCAGUGGGAGCACGCUUAGGCGUGUGACUGCGUACCUUUUGUAUAAUGGGUCAGCGACUUAUAUUCUGUAGCAAGGUUAACCGAAUAGGGGAGCCGAAGGGAAACCGAGUCUUAACUGGGCGUUAAGUUGCAGGGUAUAGACCCGAAACCCGGUGAUCUAGCCAUGGGCAGGUUGAAGGUUGGGUAACACUAACUGGAGGACCGAACCGACUAAUGUUGAAAAAUUAGCGGAUGACUUGUGGCUGGGGGUGAAAGGCCAAUCAAACCGGGAGAUAGCUGGUUCUCCCCGAAAGCUAUUUAGGUAGCGCCUCGUGAAUUCAUCUCCGGGGGUAGAGCACUGUUUCGGCAAGGGGGUCAUCCCGACUUACCAACCCGAUGCAAACUGCGAAUACCGGAGAAUGUUAUCACGGGAGACACACGGCGGGUGCUAACGUCCGUCGUGAAGAGGGAAACAACCCAGACCGCCAGCUAAGGUCCCAAAGUCAUGGUUAAGUGGGAAACGAUGUGGGAAGGCCCAGACAGCCAGGAUGUUGGCUUAGAAGCAGCCAUCAUUUAAAGAAAGCGUAAUAGCUCACUGGUCGAGUCGGCCUGCGCGGAAGAUGUAACGGGGCUAAACCAUGCACCGAAGCUGCGGCAGCGACGCUGAUGCGUUGUUGGGUAGGGGAGCGUUCUGUAAGCCUG